GGCGCCAUCGUCUAGGGGCCUAGGACAUCGGGCUCUCAAUCCGGAAACACGGGUUCAAAUCCCGUUGGCGCUA
rnacentral:tRNA from 1 species